rnacentral:rRNA from 1 species
AUACGGAGGGUGCGAGCGUUAAUCGGAAUUACUGGGCGUAAAGCGUACGUAGGCGGUUGGUUAAGUUAGAUGUGAAAGCCCCGGGCUUAACCUGGGAACUGCAUUUAAAACUGGCGAACUAGAGUUGAGUAGAGGGGAGUGGAAUUUCAGGGGUAGCGGUGAAAUGCGUAGAGAUCUGAAGGAACACCAGUGGCGAAGGCGACUCCCUGGACUCGAACUGACGCUGAGGUACGAAAGCGUGGGUAGCAAACGGGAUUAGAAACCCUAGUAGUCC